rnacentral:rRNA from 1 species
GAAUGCUGACAUAAGUAACGAUAAAGCGGGUGAAAAGCCCGCUCGCCGGAAGACCAAGGGUUCCUGUCCAACGUUAAUCGGGGCAGGGUGAGUCGACCCCUAAGGCGAGGCCGAAAGGCGUAGUCGAUGGGAAACGGGUUAAUAUUCCCGUACUUGGUGUUACUGCGAAGGGGGGACGGAGAAGGCUAUGUUGGCCGGGCGACGGUUGUCCCGGUUUAAGCGUGUAGGUGUGUGUUCCAGGUAAAUCCGGUUCACUUUAACACUGAGGCGUGACGACGAGGCACUACGGUGCUGAAGCAACAAAUGCCCUGCUUCCAGGAAAAGCCUCUAAGCAUCAGGUAACACGAAAUCGUACCCCAAACCGACACAGGUGGUCAGGUAGA